rnacentral:rRNA from 1 species
UACAGAGGUCCCAAGCGUUACUGAGAAUUACUGGGUUUAAAGGGUGCGUAGGUGGCACGUUAAGUCAGUUGUGAAAUCCCCGGGCUCAACCCGGGAACUGCUUCUGAUACUGGCGUGCUUGAGGCCAGUAGGGGUCACUAGAACUGACGGUGGAGCGGUGAAAUGCGUAGAUAUCGUCAGGAAUGCCGGUGGUGAAGACGGGUGACUGGGCUGGUUCUGACACUGAGGCACGAAAGCGUGGGGAGCGAACGGG